AUUGAACGCUGGCGGCAUGCCUUACACAUGCAAGUCGAACGGCAGCACGGGAGCAAUCCUGGUGGCGAGUGGCGAACGGGUGAGUAAUAUAUCGGAACGUGCCCAGUCGUGGGGAUAACGUAGCGAAAGCUACGCUAAUACCGCAUACUAUCUAUGGAUGAAAGCGGGGGAUCGCAAGACCUCGCGCGAUUGGAGCGGCCGAUAUCAGAUUAGGUAGUUGGUGAGGUAAAGGCUCACCAAGCCGACGAUCUGUAGCUGGUCUGAGAGGAUGAUCAGUCACACUGGAACUGAGACACGGUCCAGACUCCUACGGGAGGCAGCAGUGGGGGAAUAUUGGACAAUGGGCGAAGCCUGAUCAGCCAUGCCGCGUGUGUGAAGAAGGU
rnacentral:rRNA from 1 species